rnacentral:rRNA from 1 species
UGGGGAAUUUUGGACAAUGGGCGAAAGCCUGAUCCAGCAAUGCCGCGUGUGUGAAGAAGGCCUUCGGGUUGUAAAGCACUUUUGUCCGGAAAGAAAUCCUUGGCUCUAAUACAGUCGGGGGAUGACGGUACCGGAAGAAUAAGCACCGGCUAACUACGUGCCAGCAGCCGCGGUAAUACGUAGGGUGCAAGCGUUAAUCGGAAUUACUGGGCGUAAAGCGUGCGCAGGCGGUUUGCUAAGACCGAUGUGAAAUCCCCGGGCUCAACCUGGGAACUGCAUUGGUGACUGGCAGGCUAGAGUAUGGCAGAGGGGGGUAGAAUUCCACGUGUAGCAGUGAAAUGCGUAGAGAUGUGGAGGAAUACCGAUGGCGAAGGCAGCCCCCUGGGCCAAUACUGACGCUCAUGCACGAAAGCGUGGGGAGCAAACAGGAUUAGAUACCCUGGUAGUCCACGCCCUAAACGAUGUCAACUAGUUGUGGGGAUUCAUUCCUUAGUAACGUAGCUAACGCGUGAAGUUGACCGCCUGGGGAGUACGGUCGCAAGAUUAAAACUUAAAGGAAUUGACGGGGUCAUAGCUGUUCCU